rnacentral:rRNA from 1 species
AUUGAACGCUAGCGGGAUGCUUUACACAUGCAAGUCGAACGAGUGGCGGACGGGUGAGUAAUAUAUCGGAACGUGCCCAGUAGCGGGGGAUCAAUACUCGAAAGAGUGGCUAAUACCACAUACUAUUGGAGCGGCCGAUAUCGGAAUAGCUCGUCGGUGGGGUAAAGGCUCACAAAGGCAACGAUCCGUAGCUGGUUUGAGAGGACGACCAGCCACACUGGGACUGAGACACGGCCCAGACUCCUACGGGAGUCAGCAGUGGGGAAUUUUGGACAAUGGGGGAAACCCUGAUCCAGCCAUCCCGCGUGUAUGAGAAGGCCUUCGGGUUGUAAAGUACUUUUGGCAGAGAAGCGGUAUCUGCAGAAUAAGCACCGGCUAACUACGUGCGAGCAGCCGCGGUAAUAC